rnacentral:rRNA from 1 species
UGGCGAACGGGUGAGUAACACGUGGGUAACCUGCCCAUCAGACGGGGAUAACACUUGGAAACAGGUGCUAAUACCGUAUAACACUAUUUUCCGCAUGGAAGAAAGUUGAAAGGCGCUUUUGCGUCACUGAUGGAUGGACCCGCGGUGCAUUAGCUAGUUGGUGAGGUAACGGCUCACCAAGGCAACGAUGCAUAGCCGACCUGAGAGGGUGAUCGGCCACACUGGGACUGAGACACGGCCCAGACUCCUACGGGAGGCAGCAGUAGGGAAUCUUCGGCAAUGGACGAAAGUCUGACCGAGCAACGCCGCGUGAGUGAAGAAGGUUUUCGGAUCGUAAAACUCUGUUGUUAGGGAAGAACAAGGAUGAGAGCAGAACGUCAUCCCUUGACGUAUCUAACCAGAAGCCACGCA